rnacentral:rRNA from 1 species
AUAUCAAUAAGCGGAGGAAAAGAAACUAACAAGGAUUCCCCUAGUAGCGGCGAGCGAAGCGGGAAGAGCUCAAAUUUAUAAUCUGGCACCUUCGGUGUCCGAGUUGUAAUCUCUAGAAAUGUUUUCCGCGUUGGACCGCACACAAGUCUGUUGGAAUACAGCGGCAUAGUGGUGAGACCCCCGUAUAUGGUGCGGACGCCCAGCGCUUUGUGAUACAUUUUCGAAGAGUCGAGUUGUUUGGGAAUGCAGCUCAAAUUGGGUGGUAAAUUCCAUCUAAAGCUAAAUAUUGGCGAGAGACCGAUAGCGAACAAGUACCGUGAGGGAAAGAUGAAAAGCACUUUGGAAAGAGAGUUAACAGUACGUGAAAUUGUUGGAAGGGAAACGCUUGAAGUCAGACUUGCUUGCCGAGCAAUCGGUUUGCAGGCCAGCAUCAGUUUUCCGGGAUGGAUAAUGGUAGAGAGAAGGUAGCAGUUUCGGCUGUGUUAUAGCUCUCUGCUGGAUACAUCUUGGGGGACUGAGGAACGCAGUGUGCCUUUGGCGGGGGUUUCGACCUCUUCACACUUAGGAUGCUGGUGGAAUGGCUUUAAACGACCCGUCUUGAAACACGGACCAAGGAGUCUAACAUGCUUGCGAUGUUUGGG